UACGGGGGGGGCAAGCGUUGUUCGGAAUUACUGGGCGUAAAGGGCUCGUAGGCGGCCAACUAAGUCCGACGUGAAAUCCCCAGGCUCAACCUGGGAACUGCGUCCGAUACUGGCAGGCUUGAAUCCGGGAGAGGGAUGUGGAAUUCCAGGUGUAGCGGUGAAAUGCGUAGAUAUCUGGAGGAACACCGGUGGCGAAGGCGGCAUCCUGGACCGGUAUUGACGCUGAGGCGCGAAAGCUAGGGGAGCAAACGGG
rnacentral:rRNA from 1 species